UUCAGAUCAGCUGUGACAAGGAGAUGUAAACUUCGAAAAUACAAACUUUAUGUCCAGCAACAAUUGAUGUACUGCCCAGUAUACGAGCUGCUGUUGGACCAGACAUAGAGAUUAUACUGGAUGGAGGAGUACAACGAGGCACGGAUAUAGCUAAGGGACUUGCUCUGGGUGCAGAUGGUGUAGGUAUUGGUAAACCUUAUCUAUAUGGACUGGCUGCUGGAGGAACAGAAGGCGUGAAUAAAGUUAUGAACAUUUUAAGGAUUGAGUUGGAUCGUGCAAUGGGACUGCUCGGCGCUGGAAGUGUCGCGGAGCUAAAAAAGCGUGGCUCAGAGCUAAUCAAACAAAGAGAAGGCUCGGGCAGAGACUGUAGUGGGGCUCGCGGUAGCAAAGCUGGAAUCAUUUAAAUUUUAUUUUUUUGUUAAAUUUGCAUUUCAUUAAGAGGGAAAACAAAGUUAUGCAUAAUAUUCAUUUAAAUUUCAACAAAAAUUGUAAGAAUAAAUUUAUUUUAAAAAUAAAUUAGCAAACACUAA